GGCAUGGGAUUUUUGGCUUUUUCCUUUCCAUAACCAAAAUCAGAUUUACAAAAACACCAGCCCACCCCUGUAUGGCCUCUUUUCCUCAUCCAUCCCUUCGUGCUUUGCUGUUCCCAGGAUAUUUUCCUCCAACCUGAAGGAGAGGAUGGCCCAGCGGUAUCUACAACCUGGUGCUGCUGCCGCGGAUCCGGGAUGACAUCGCCGAGUACAAGCGGCUCAACUUCCACCUGUACAUGGCUCUGAAGAAGGCUCUGUUCAAGCCAGCAGCCUGGUUCAAGGGGAUCCUCAUCCCGCUGUGUGAGUCCGGCACGUGCACGCUCAGGGAGGCCAUCAUCAUCGGCAGCAAUCCUCACCAAGUGCUCCAUCCCCGUCCUGCACUCCAGUGCAGCGCUGCUGA
rnacentral:lncRNA from 1 species